GACAGAGGGUGCAAACGUUGCUCGGAAUCACUGGGCGUAAAGGGCGUGUAGGCGGGAAUGUAAGUCGGGCGUGAAAUCCCUAGGCUCAACCUAGGAACUGCACUCGAAACUGCGUUUCUUGAGUGCCGGAGAGGAAAGCGGAAGUUCCUGGAUGUAGAGGUGAAAUUCGUAGAUAUCAGGAGGGAACACCAGUGGCGAAGGGCGGCUUUCUGGACGGGUAAC
rnacentral:rRNA from 1 species